UGAGAGGCAUCUCUUGAAUAUCAAAGGUGAGCCAGUACAGGAUGGACCCGCGUCUGAUUAGCUAGUUGGUAAGGUAACGGCUUACCAAGGCGACGAUCAGUAGCCGACCUGAGAGGGUGAUCGGCCACAUUGGAACGGAGACACGGUCCAAACUCCUACGGGAGGCAGCAGUGGGGAAUAUUGCACAAUGGGCGAAAGCCUGAUGCAGCAACGCCGCGUGAGUGAUGAAGGCCUUCGGGUCGUAAAACUCUGUCCUC
rnacentral:rRNA from 1 species